AUUGUUCGCAAUGGGCGCAAGCCUGAUCCAGCGACGCCGCGUGAGUGAUGAAGGCCUUCGGGUUGUAAAGCUCUGUUGAGGGGAAAGAAAACGGUCAGCGUGAAUAAUUCUGGCCCUUGACGGUACCCCUUUAGAAAGCACCGGCUAACUCUGUGCCAGCAGCCGCGGUAAAACGUAGGGGACAAGCGUUAUCCGGAUUUACUGGGCGUAAAGCGCCCGUAGGCGGCUUGAAAAGUUGGACGUGAAAGCUCCCGGCUUAACUGGGAGAGGCCGUUCAAAACUGUCAGGCUAGAGUGAGGAAGAGGAGAGCAGAAUUCCCGGUGUAGUGGUGGAAUGCGUAGAGAUCGGGAGGAAUACCAGUGGCGAAAGCGGCUCUCUGGUCCUAAACUGACGCUGAGGGGCGAAAGCGUGGGGAGCGAAC
rnacentral:rRNA from 1 species